rnacentral:rRNA from 1 species
UACGAACCGGCCAAACGUUAUUCGGAAUCAUUGGGCUUAAAGAGUGCGUAGGCGGCGCCGUAAGUCGGGUGUGAAAUCCCUCGGCUCAACCGAGGAACUGCGCCCGAUACUGCGGCGCUCGAGGGAGACAGGGGUGAGCGGAACUGAUGGUGGAGCGGUGAAAUGCGUUGAUAUCAUCAGGAACACCGGUGGCGAAAGCGGCUCACUGGGCCUCUUCUGACGCUGAGGCACUAAAGCUAGGGUAGCGAACGUG